GUGCUCACUUCGGCAGCACAUAUACUAAAAUUGGAAUGAUACAGAGAUUAGCAUGGCCCUUGCACAAGGAUAACGCAAAUUCAUGAAGCAUUCCAUAUUUUC
ensembl:snRNA U6 U6 spliceosomal RNA